ACGGAAGGCAGCAGUGAGGAAUAUUGGUCAAUGGGCGAGAGCCUGAACCAGCCAAGUCGCGUGAAGGAUGAAGGUUCUAUGGAUUGUAAACUUCUUUUGUUCGAGGGUAAAGUGAGGGAUGCGUCCCUUAUUGCAAGUAUCGAACGAAUAAGCAUCGGCUAACUCCGUGCCAGCAGCCGCGGUAAUACGGAGGAUGCGAGCGUUAUCCGGAUUUAUUGGGUUUAAAGGGAGCGCAGGCGGCGCGUCAAGUCAGCGGUAAAAUGUCGGGGCUCAACCCCGGCCGGCCGUUGAAACUGCCGUGCUCGAGUUCGUGCGAGGAGAGCGGAAUGCGUGGUGUAGCGGUGAAAUGCAUAGAUAUCACGCAGAACGCCGAUUGCGAAGGCAGCCCUCCAGCACUGGACUGACGCUGAGGCUCGAAAGCGUGGGUAUCGAACAGGAUUAGAUACCCUGGUA
rnacentral:rRNA from 1 species